rnacentral:rRNA from 1 species
UACGUAGGGCGCAAGCGUUGUCCGGAAUUAUUGGGCGUAAAGGGCUCGUAGGUGGCCAACUAAGUCAGACGUGAAAUCCCUCAGCUUAACUGGGGAACUGCGUCUGAUACUGGAUGGCUUGAGUUUGGGAGAGGGACGCGGAAUUCCAGGUGUAGCGGUGAAAUGCGUAGAUAUCAGGAGGAACACCAGUGGCGAAGGCGGCUUUCUGGACGGUGACUGACGCUGAGACGCGAAAGCGUGGGGAGCAAACAGG